rnacentral:lncRNA from 1 species
CUGAAAACAUGGAGAAAGGCGAUGAGGCGAAUUUCCAUCAAGUGAAAAGGUGACAUUUAUGUAGCUGAAAGAAGAGGGUAACCUAGACUCUUUCCUGUAGAAUUUGGAGAGGGAGAGAGACAGAGACAGAGAGAGGGGAAGGAAGGGAGGAAAAGAUGGGUGAAAAAAGAGGAACAGAGAAACAGUGGAAGAUAAGGUAUGGGAAGGAAACCAGGAUGAAGACAUCGUUGUGAUCGUUGCAGAACCGCCACGUGCUGUGCGCGUGGUAAACCAUCGUUACAGCUGUUAAACUAGUGGGACUCAGUGGGAUGGGUUUACAAACAAGAGUCUAUGGAGACUAUUAGGUGCCAAAACUAUUUAAGCAAAGAGAUAUCACUAUCAGAAAGUCAGCGUGAACCCUAGCUGAAAUUUUAGCAAAAUCUGAAUAAUGGCUUCAUUGAUGAGGAAUUCUUUGCCUUGGCAUCAGAAAUUUUUAAGAAACUACAAGCCAUUUGGAAUGUCUGCAGUCACACUGUUUGCCUCCUGCAAUGUACAGAUCUCUGGAUUUUCUGGUUGCUGUUACUUCCUAGACAGUGCAACAAAUAUCAGAAAGUCUGACUCGUUCACAUUUUCCAUCACCUCGGGAAGAAAGCGCAGACUGUUUCUUGGGGAAAAUCUACAGUUCCUUAGUCCAACGUGUCUGACUCAUAAACCCUGUCAUCAAGGACAAACAGAUGAUAGAAGCAGGGAUGUGCUCCUGGAGACACAUGGACCAACAUUUUAGGCAGUUCUGAAGACCUGGGGCAGCACUAGUCCUGUCAUAAAGAGAAAUUAAUGUUGUUAAAGUUGGCCUAGCUGCCCUCUGGGACAGCUGAAGAUGUGGAAAUACAAGGCUCUGUUUUUAAAAUGAAAAUGAUUAAAGGCACAGACACCUUGCUCUUGGAAGCAGCCACUGAAACUUUUAAUAAAAUAUGUGGGCACAUACUCA